rnacentral:lncRNA from 1 species
GGCGCCACAGGAGCGCUCCUCGACAGCGCGGGCGACAGCCUCCCAAACUAGCCCGGGCCUCACAGGCAGGGACGCGCGACUGACCGGCGGCGAGCGGUGGGAGACUUUGGAACUUAGGCAAAAGUGUGCGUGCAGCCAGGUUUUAGGACUGUCAGACCCAGGAGACCACACAAGCCACAGUCCCAGAACAGCGGGUGUGCUGUGGUGGGGUAAGCCUGAGUGCAGGGGUCGGAGGAUCCGUCCUGCAGCUGGUGUCGCUGAUCCUUAGGACAGCCCAGCCCUUUCGGCCAGACCUUCGGGUUGGAUCUUCACAGUAAGCCACUCACUGAACGGCGACCUUUGGGCAACUAGAAUUCCGGA